rnacentral:lncRNA from 1 species
GGUCCCCUUCCUUCCUUCCGGUUCGUUUCUGCUCCCUUGCUGGUCCGGUUCCGCUUUCCUUCCGGUUCGGCCCCCUUGCUGGUUCGGUUCGGUUUGCUUGUUUGUACAGUUUGGAUGAUGAUGAUUUGUGGUUGUAUGAAUGGUUUGAGUGUUUGAUUUGAAAAAGUAUUGGAAAAGUAAAAAAUAAGUGUUUGUGAAUUGCUGCUGAUUUUUCUGUGAACAGUGAUUUUCUGGCUCAUUUCCCAAUGAUUGACAGUGUUUAAAUAGUGACGAAUUAGGGUUGGCU